GACAAGCAAUUACAGAGACCCGGUAGUUGCCCAUUCGCCGUCGGCCGCCGAUGCUUCGUCCCCGCUCUCUCCUCCGUUUACUGGUUAGGGGCAGCGGGUGAGAAUGGCUCCGGUCUCUGCUGCUCUCUUUUCUCUCUCCGCUUGGUUGACAGAGUCGAUGGCAAAAUCCAGCGGCAAGGUCCAGACACGUGGAGCGGACAAGAUGAUGGUUGGCGGUUUUUGUAAAUCCAUCUCCGACAACCUCCUUGCGGCGGCUCAAAGAUUUCUAACGAUGGUGGAACGGCAUCACACACUUACCCUAUAUAACACGGACCUCGAAUCUCCACCCAUGACCUCCUCAUAGUCAUAGAGCCUCUGCAACCAGAGCUUCCUAUUUUCUUCAAACUCAGGAACAAUCACAUCGGGGACUUCAAAUUGCUUGUUGGGCGGAUUAGGGUCUUGAUUGAUCUUGAGGCUCAAUAUGCCAUUUUGGUGGGCACAGAGUGUGAGAAUCAAUGAGUUGGGUGGUGGGUCUUGGUGGGGAUCGACGACGAGCUUAACAGCGCCUCUCUUCUGCCAUAGAUUUAGUCUCUACAAAGAAAACCGACAAAUUGAGGGCUUUGUGUUCCUAACUAAUUGGUUGGGUAGUGGUCGCCGUUUCCACUCCUGGAGAUCUCCGAGCCGCCACAAGGAGCUGUCGCUGUUACCAAGCUGUUGAUCGAUUUGCAGAGACCGCCGGCCAUCAUCUUCUCUUCGACGACUGGUCUGGACCUUGUUGCCGUCGCCGCUAGACUUUGCCAUUGAUUCCGUCGACCAGGUUGAGAGAGGGGAGUGAGGGAGGAAGGGAUUGGAGCAAUGGCCUCCGGCGGUGGUUGUCUGUGAUAAGCUUGUUUAGAGAUGAAUUGAGUAGGAGAGAGUGAUUAUUCAAAGAGGUGGCGGCAAUUAGUUGUCACUCAUCAUCCAGUCAAUAUUUGUUGAUGUUACACCGUCAGUUUAACGGCGUAAAUUGGAUGGUAACAAUAUAUUAUUAUUAUACGAUUAAAAUAGAAGUAAGAAUUUAAAGUGCAAAUUAUAAAAAAUUAAAAUGUUACUUCAAAACUAAAAAUAAAACAAAAAAAUACUAUAUUUAUUUUUGUAAGAAAAUAAAUAAGCUACAAGUGGUUAAUGACAGGCAAGUUGACGGAGAAGGGGGGGGGGGGGGGGCCAGCUCCAAAGAAA